rnacentral:tRNA from 1 species
GCCCCUAUAGCUGAACUGGAAGCAGUACUGUAAAAAGGAACAAGCACUCGGCUUUUAACCGAGCGGAUUUGGGUUCGAAUCCCAUUGGGGGUA